UACAGAGGUUGCAAGCGUUAAUCGGAUUUACUGGGCGUAAAGCGUGUGUAGGUGGUUCGACAAGUCGGUUGUGAAAUCCCCGGGCUCAACCUGGGAAUUGCUUCCGAGACUGUCAGACUAGAGAUCGGUAGAGGGCGGUGGAAUUUCCGGUGUAGCGGUGAAAUUCGUAGAUAUUGGGAAGAACACCGGUGGCGAAGGCGGCGCUCUGGACCGAGACUGACGCUGAGGCGCGAAAGCGUGGGGAGCAAACAGG
rnacentral:rRNA from 1 species